UUUGAUCCUAGCUCAGAUUGGGUGCCUGGCAGGAUGCUUACCACAUGCAGGUCGAACGACGCUCGGACUUCGGUCUGGUGGCGAGUGGCGAACAGGUGGGUAAUGUAUCCGGAACGUGCCUAGUGGCGGGGGGAUAACUACGCCGGCGUGGCUAUUGCAGCCCAAACCACACUUCGAGGCGGGGGACAACUGGGCCUCGCUAUUAGAGCGGCCGAUAUCGGAUUAGCUAGUUGGUGGGGUAACGGCUCACCGAGGCGGCGAUCGUGAAGCUGGUUUGAGAGGACGACCAGCCACUGGGACUGGGCACAGCGGAAAGAAAGCUCUACGAGAGAGAGAGAGCAGCAGUAGAAAUUUUGGACAAUGGGGAAACACAGUCGCCAUCCCGCAUUGUGCGAUGAAGGCCUUCCCGGGUUUACUUCACUUUUGGCAGAAAGCAGCACGGGGAUAAUACUGAUACAGCUGACAGCCACCUGCAGAAUGGCGCCGGCUUCUUUACGUGCCCGCCAGCCACUGAUAUGCAGCAGGGUGCAAGCGUUAAUCGGAAUUACUGGGCGUAAGCGUACGCGAGCGAGGUUCGAAGAUGAAGUCCCAGGCUUAACACGAGACUGCAUUGCAAACUGCCGAAGGCUAGAAGAAGUUAUUGUCAGGAGGUGGAAUUCGCGAUGUGGCAGUGAAGUAAAUGAAUAUGCGGAGAGGAACACACCGAUGGCGAAGAACUGGCCUCCUGGGACAACGCGGCUCAUGCACAGCAGUAAGAGGGAGCAAAACGGAUUGGGCUCUACCCUGGUCCCGCCCUCAAACGUGUCAACUAUGUUUGAGGCCUUCGGGCGACAGUAGCGCAGCCCCAACGCUGGUGAAGUUGACCGCCUGGGUACGAUGCCGUUAAAACUCAAAAAUUGACGAGGACCCGCACAAGCAGUAGAUGAUGUAGAUUCAUUCAUUGUGCCAAAAACCUUCCUACCUUGGCAUGUCUGGAAUCCGAAGAGGGUGGGCUAUGCAAGAAACCAAGGAGACACAGAGUGCUGUGGUGUCGUCAGCUCAUUGUCGUGGGGAUAUUUGGGUUAAGUCCUGGCAAGCCUAUGCCCAGUCGUAGAUUGCUGCAGGGGCACUCUGUGGGACACCGGUGACAAACGCCCGGAAGGGUGGGGAUGACGUCAGAAUCCUCAUGGCCCUUAUGGGUGGGCUUCACACGUCCUUGGCUGGUCGGGACAGAGGGUCGCCAAGCACGAGGAGAGCCAAUCCCAGAAACAGUCGUGAGUCCCGGAUCCACGCAGUCUGCAGCUCAGCUGCAUUGAAGUCAGGAGGAAAUGCUAAGUAAUCAUGGAUCAGCAUGUCACAGUGAAUACGUUCCCGGGUCUUAUGCCUGCCCGUCACACCAUGGAGUGGGUUUACCAGAAAUGGUCGCCUAACCAUGGGAGGGCAGAUUACCACAAUAGGAUUCAUGACUGGGGGUGAAGUCAUGCUAAAGGUAUCUAUUUUACAGUGCUCCCAGAGACAAUAC
rnacentral:rRNA from 1 species